GUGUCAGCAGCCGCGGUAAUACGUAGGUGGCGAGCGUUAUCCGGAUUUAUUGGGCGUAAAGUGGGCGCAGACGGUCUGGUAAGUCAGAUGUAAAAUCUCUCGGCCUAACCGGGUGGUUGCAUUUGAUACUGUUAGACUAGAGGACAACAGAGGGAGGUAGAAUUCCCGGUGUAGUGGUGAAAUGCGUAGAUAUCGGGAGGAAUACCAGUGGCGAAGGCGGCCUCCUGGGUUGUUUCUGACGUUCAUGCCCGAAGGUGUGGGGAGCAAACAGGAUCAGAUACCCUGGUAGUCCACACUGUAAACGAUGGACACUAGGUAUAGGGAGUAUCGACCCUCUCUGUGCCAAAGCCAACGCGUUAAGUGUCCCGUCUGGGGAGUACGGCCGCAAGGCUAAA
rnacentral:rRNA from 1 species